AUUGAAGGCUGGCGGCGGGCCUAACACAUGCAAGUCGAGCGGAUGAGGGGAGCUUGCUCCUGGAUUCAGCGGCGGACGGGUGAGUAAUGCCUAGGAAUCUGCCUGGUAGUGGGGGAUAACGUCCGGAAACGGGCGCUAAUACCGCAUACGUCGUGUGCGAGAAAGUGGGGGAUCUUCGGACCUCACGCUAUCAGAUGAGCCAAGGUCGGAUUAGCUAGUUGGUGGGGUAAAGGCCUACCAAGGCGACGAUCCGUAACUGGUCUGAGAGGAUGAUCAGUCACACUGGAACUGAGACACGGUCCAGACUCCUACGGGAGGCAGCAGUGGGGAAUAUUGGACAAUGGGCGAAAGCCUGAUCCAGCCAUGCCGCGUGUGUGAAGAAGGUCUUCGGAUUGUAAAGCACUUUAAGUUGGGAGGAAGGGCAGUAAGUUAAUACCUUGCUGUUUUGACGUUACCAACAGAAUAAGCACCGGCUAACUUCGUG
rnacentral:rRNA from 1 species